rnacentral:rRNA from 1 species
CCUACGGGAGGCUGCAGUAGGGAAUAUUGCUCAAUGGGGGAAACCCUGAAGCAGCAACGCCGCGUGGAGGAUGAAGGUUUUCGGAUUGUAAACUCCUUUUGUUAGAGAAGAUAAUGACGGUAUCUAACGAAUAAGCACCGGCUAACUCCGUGCCAGCAGCCGCGGUAAUACGGAGGGUGCAAGCGUUACUCGGAAUCACUGGGCGUAAAGAGCGCGUAGGCGGGAUAGCAAGUCAGAUGUGAAAGCCUAUGGCUUAACCAGAGAACUGCAUUUGAAACUGUUAUUCUAGAGUAUGGGAGAGGAAGGUGGAAUUCUUGGUGUAGGGGUAAAAGCCGUAGAUAUAAAGAGGAAUACUCAUGGCGAAGGCGACCUGCUAGAACAUAACUGACGCUGAUGCGCGAAAGCGUGGGGAGCAAACAGGAUUAGAUACCCUAGUAGUC